rnacentral:rRNA from 1 species
UCGGGAAUUUUGGGCAAUGGGGGAAACCCUGACCCAGCAACGCCGCGUGAAGGAUGAAGUAUUUCGGUAUGUAAACUUCGAAAGAAUAGGAAGAAUAAAUGACGGUACUAUUUAUAAGGUCCGGCUAACUACGUGCCAGCAGCCGCGGUAAUACGUAGGGACCAAGCGUUGUUCGGAUUUACUGGGCGUAAAGGGCGCGUAGGCGGCAUGACAAGUCACUUGUGAAAUCUCUGGGCUUAACCCAGAACGGCCAAGUGAUACUGUCGCGCUAGAGUGCAGAAGGGGCAAUCGGAAUUCUUGGUGUAGCGGUGAAAUGCGUAGAUAUCAAGAGGAACACCUGAGGUGAAGACGGGUUGCUGGGCUGACACUGACGCUGAGGUACGAAAGCGUGGGGAGCAAACAGGAUUAGAUACCCCAGUAGUCCCUGAGCGGGCUGGCAAGGCGCAU